GACGAACGCUGGCGGCGUGCCUAACACAUGCAAGUCGAGCGGAGGUAGACAAGGAGUAAUCUGAGUUUACCUUAGCGGCGGACGGGUGAGUAACGCGUGAGCAACCUGCCUUUCACAGGGGGAUAAGGCGGCGAAAGCCGCUCUAAUACCGCAUGAGACCACGGUGAUGAUAUUACCGGGGUCAAAGGAGCAAUCCGGUGAAAGAUGGGCGCGCGUCCGAUUAGGUAGUUGGUGGGGUAGAGGCUCACCAAGCCAAUGAUCGGUAGCCGGCCUGAGAGGGUGAACGGCCACAUUGGAACUGAGAGACGGUCCAAACUCCUACGGGAGGCAGCAGUGGGGAAUAUUGGGCAAUGGGCGAAAGCCUGACCCAGCAACGCCGCGUGAAGGAAGAAGGUUUUCGGAUUGUAAACUUCUGUUCUUGGGGAAGAGAAGAAGACGGUACCCAAGGAGGAAGCCCCGGCUAACUACGUGCCAGCCGCCGCCGUAA
rnacentral:rRNA from 1 species